UAUGUGAUCGUCUCUCGCAUAUCAAUAAGCGGAGGAAAAGAAACUAACAAGGAUUCCCCUAGUAACGGCGAGUGAAGCGGGAAGAGCUCAAAUUUGAAAUCUUAAAGGGUUUCCCUUUACGAAUUGUAGUUUAAAGAAGUGUUUUCUGUUGAGGUUUUGGUAAAAGUUCUUUGGAAUAGGACAUCAUAGAGGGUGAGAAUCCCGUAUUUGACCUUUACUUUCAACUUUGUGAUACACUUUCAAAGAGUCGGAUUGUUUGGGAAUGCAGUCCAAAAUGGGUGGUAAAUUUCAUCUAAAGCUAAAUAUUGGCGAGAGACCGAUAGCGAACAAGUACCGUGAGGGAAAGAUGAAAAGAGCUUUGAAAAGAGAGUUAAACAGUACGUGAAAUUGUCAAAAGGGAAGCGUUUGACACCAGUGUUGUUUUUCUGAAAAUCAAUUAAAGAACUGUUUAUGCUAAGCUGUUUAGACUUUAUCAGCUAAUCUGUUUAGUUUUGAGCUUUUCUUUAAUGCACUUUUCAGUUAACAAGUCAACAUCAAUUUCUUUUGCUGUAAAAAAGCUUGAGGAAGGUGGCUUGAGAUUCGUCUUAAGUGUUUAUAGUCCUCCUGCCUAUGCAGUCGGAGAGAUUGAGGUCUGCAGCGUAGAUCCUUCGGGGCUAAAUGCAUUUGUGCUAAGUUAUAGCAUUUUAUAGACAACUUGUUGACUAUGAUUUGUCUUGUAGCUUACUCGCUUAUGUUAUUUUACCUACGCUUAGGAUGUUGAAGAUAUGCGCGACACG
rnacentral:rRNA from 1 species